rnacentral:rRNA from 1 species
UACGUAGGUGGCAAGCGUUGUCCGGAUUUACUGGGCGUAAAGGGCGUGCAGGCGGUCUGUUAAGUCUAGGGUGAAAGCUCCCGGCUCAACUGGGAGAGGUCCUUGGAUACUGGCGGACUUGAGGGAGGCAGAGGAAAGUGGAAUUCCGGUGUAGUGGUGAUAUGACGUAGAUAUCGGGAGGAACACCAGUGGCGAAGGCGGCUUUCGUGG